UAUAUGUGGCUCUGGCUGUCCUGGAAUUCACUGUGUAAACCAGACUACCCUUGAACUGACAGAGAUCCAUCUGUCUAUCUCUUCCUCCUGAGUGCUGGGAUUAAAGAUGUGCCAAACUCUGCCAGGUUUUCAACAGCUUCUUUGGAAAUUUGCAGAGGGGCUAAGAAAAUGAGAAGAAAUGGAAAACAUUUUGAAUAGCAAGAGAAUGUUGUAUGCAGAAUUUAGAUGGAACCACGGGAAUUCUGCAACACUGACAAACAACACAAACUAUGUGUUUAUUGAAGGCCACAGCAAGAAACUGGACAGAUACAUCUGAGCUGCCUGGAAGCAAGCCUAUGAGUCUCGUCUAUUUUUCUUUUGUUUUUAUUGGUGAUCUACUGAAGCAUUUUG